rnacentral:rRNA from 1 species
UACGAAGGGGGCUAGCGUUGUUCGGAUUUACUGGGCGUAAAGCGCACGUAGGCGGACUAUUAAGUCAGGGGUGAAAUCCCGGGGCUCAACCCCGGAACUGCCUUUGAUACUGGUAGUCUUGAGUUCGAGAGAGGUGAGUGGAAUUCCGAGUGUAGAGGUGAAAUUCGUAGAUAUUCGGAAGAACACCAGUGGCGAAGGCGACUUACUGGACACAUAUUGACGCUGAGGUGCGAAAGCGUGGGGAGCAAACAGG